UACGUAGGGGGCAAGCGUUGUCCGGAUUUAUUGGGCGUAAAGAGCGUGUAGGCGGCUGGGUAGGUCCGUUGUGAAACUCGAGGCUCAACCUCGAGACGCCGAUGGAAACCCUCCAGCUAGAGUCCGGAAGAGGAGAGUGGAAUUCCUGGUGUAGCGGUGAAUGCGCAGAUAUCAGGAAGAACACCCGUGGCUAAGGCGGCUCUCUAGUACGGUACUGACGCUGAGACGCGAAAGCGUGGGGGGAGCGAACAGGAUAGAACCGAGUAGU
rnacentral:rRNA from 1 species